ensembl:snoRNA U3 Small nucleolar RNA U3
AAGACUAUACUUUCAGGGAUCAUUUCUAUAGUUCAUUACUAGAAAAGUUUCUCUGAAUGUGUAGAGUACGGACUAAAGAGCUUCUGCACAGCAAAAGACACUAUCAGA